ACACGCUUCCCCACUGAGGGAAGACCAUGUGACUAUACAACAGGAAGGUAGUUGUUUACAAGCCAGGAAGAGAGCCCUCACCAGAAACCAAAUUGGCUGGCGCCUUGAUCAUGGACUCCUGGGCUCCGGAACUGUAAGAAAAUUUGUGUUGUGGAAGCCACCCAGCCCAUGGUAUUUCGUUAUGGCAGCCUGAGCAGAGGUGGUAGCUAUGUGGACAGUUUUUGGACUUCUCUAUUAUGAGAAAACAGAAGCAAAGGCAGAAAGAUGCUACAUUGCCAGCUUUGAAGAUGGAGGGAAGAGGUCACAAACCAAGGAAGGCAAUGAGGACGUUGCACAAGACAGUCCCUGAUACCCAGAGUUUACUGCCUAAGAGAGGAUACAUCCUUCAAACCAAUAAUCUGCUAAUAGCAAGAUCCAAUAGCUUCAUGGAUAUUGAAAGAAACUGAGAAUCAAAUUUGCAUACUUCUGAGUCACUUGGAAACAAAAAACAAGUACAGUCUUAGAUUCUGAGGGAACAAAAAUUAAAAAUCACAUUAGGAAGAGAAUUCCUAAUGUAGGAACUCAUCCUGGAAGAUUCUUCAGCAAAAGUACAGACAAUAAUAAUAAUACUCCAUGAAGUUACCAUCGAUAUUGAAUGAAUUAAUGAAUGUAAAAACCUCAAAACCCUGCCUGGCCCAGAGCUUUGGAAUGGGUUUGGAUCUACCACUCAACUGCUUUAUGACUUCAGACCAGUUAUUUAAAUUCCCUGAAGCUCAGUUUCCACAUCUUUGAGUGCAGCCCGGAGAGCUGUGAGCAGUGCCACAGGAGGAGAUGACUGGUGAGUGAAAUAAGCAAGAUAGGAGUUGAAGUGUACAUGAAGCAGAGUCCAAGCCUUCUCCUUCUGGAUGUUCAGCUGGAUCAUCCUGACUGCUCCCACUUUCAUCUUGGCUUUCAAAGGCAAGAGGAAAUUAUAAGGAAUAUUCUGAGUGGCUUUCAUCCAGGAGUUCUGUGGGACCCGCAACACCUGGAUGGUAGAUGCAAACAGAUAAAGAAUAUUGGUCACCAAAAGGAGUUCUUUUCAUCAUAGAUCUCUGAAGGUAGACACCUAUUUGCAGACUUCUCAAAGGGCUAUAUGGAUGUGCUCUACUUGUUGGAGGAUUGUCCAUCCACUCUUCUUCCUGUACUUACCAGGACAGAACAGCCGCAACUUCUCAGACAGUUCAUUCUUCUUUUCCUCACCUACUACCAUCUAAGAAAGGUACUUGAUGACUGUGGCUUUAGACAAGAGUCCUUUUCUUACCACAGGGUGGGCAGCACCAGCUCAUUAGAACCAUUUGUGUGACUGACUGAAGACAGCUCACCUUGGAACACUGCAGGUUGAAGAUCAUCUCUUCUUUUUUUCAUGGUGUUAAGCAUAAUAUGGCGUAAGUGACAUUUUACAAGUUCCAGAGCCUGGGACUCAAGAUGUCUUGGAGAUUCUGUCUUUGCAGUCUUAUAAUGAUGCCCUGAGAUCAUCAUUAAAGAAAGCCAGUCUGGCCUACUGAGGAUGAGAAGCUACAUAAAGGAGAAUGAAGAUUCCCCAGCCAACAGGCAAUAUCAGUGGUCAGAUAUGUGAAUAAAGCCAUGUUGAACCUCUCGGCUAGACGACCCUCCAGCAUAUGAAACCAGCAGAUGAAUAUCCCAGCCUGCCUGAAGAACUGUACAGGAAAUAAGAAAUCAUUGUUUUUUAAGCCACUGGGUUGGUGGGUGGUUUGUUACAUUGAAAUUGUUAACUAAAACAGAAAUUGGUGCAUAGAGGUCAGGUGCUGUCAUAAUAAAAAUCUAAAACAUAUACUGUUGGCUUUGGUGAUGGGAGUGAUUGGUAGCUAAAGAGGCAGUGAAACAAUGAUUAGUAGAUACUGGGAAGUUAAUAAGGAAAUUUCUAUUGGAGGGUGGAGAAAGGGCCACCCUUGUUAUAUAGUGGCCAAAGAAUCAGCAAAAUGUUGCCUGCUGCAACCUGGAAAGUAGAAACUUUUCUUAAACUCACGGAUCUGGCUGGGAGAUUUCCAGGAUGCAUGCAACAAAUGUGAAUCAACUUUGUAUAGCUGUGUAUAAUAAAGUGUGCUGUAUUUGUCCAUUCUGAUGCUGCUAAUAAAGACAUACCUGAGACUGAA
rnacentral:lncRNA from 1 species